CUUCGGCUUAAUCUAUCUAUCUAUCUAUCCACACAGAACAUUACAUAAGUCAUUGCUAACGUAGACUCUGGUAAUUUGAGGCCUCAAUGCGUCGCUUUGCUCAACCCCAGCACCAGCCUACACAGCAGUGACAAUGUGAGCAAACUGGGGUCAGAUGUCUUACUCAAGGCAUCUGUGUUUGUAAUGCAGCGGGGGACUUUUUUCAAAGAGACAACAUCUGAUAACAUCUGCAGAGCCAGAGGCUCCCUCUCACGUCU